rnacentral:lncRNA from 1 species
AGAAACGAAGAUUUGGGAAAGCUAUCAUAUAAGCCCUAUAACUUUUAUAGAUUAUAUACUUCAAAUAACAACUUAAUUUUGAUAAGAUUGGCACAUUUUACUUGACACAAGGCAGGAUCACAGAAUAAAAUAGCAAGUUCAAGUGGAAUCAUUCCCUAUAUCUAGAAGGCCCCAUAUUACACAUAACUUGUUCCAGAUCUAACACAUCCUUCCAAUGGGUAGGGCCUGCUAUUAAAAGUAUUCUGAAAGAUUAAUGGUAGGCAAUAUGCAAUAUGCAAUAGUUCCAAUCCCACAUAAUCCCUCUUUCCAUCUCUAAUAUCAAGACAUCCGACAAUUAAGUAAAUGAUUCUUACAGCUAACCCCUUGAAGAAUCAAAUGCAGGACAUUCUUCAUUCCAUCCAAUUCCUCCUUAGACAUUGUCUCCAGAAAAAGGCCUAAUGCAUCAGAUAUGUCUGAGAUAGAUAUAGGAAAAAUAAAUAAAUAUGGUAUUAGAUCCAGUGAAUACUCAGAAGAGGAAGGUGCAUGAGAUUGUAAUAACUACAAUGCACCAAUAUAGAACAAAUAGGGAAGAGCCUUGACACAAUAGGAAGGUUGCUAUCUUGCAACUCAGUGAAGAUGAGUUGUAGUGGUGGAGAUAGACUUUCCACUUACAAGGGUAAAAGCAAUAAACUUGCCCUUCCCCAAACCCCACAAUGAAGGCAACUUCAUACACUAAA